rnacentral:misc_RNA from 1 species
CAUUUUGCUGCUGCAAUGAGAAGGCUGCGAAGAGCUGGCAAAAUUGGCGAGUUUGUAAGUGUAUUUGUGAAUGAGAAGCAGUGUGCUGUAUAUAUUGCUUCGGAUGGAGGUCGAGUUUGUCGUCCGCUAGUUAUUGCAGACAAAGGUGUAUCAAGGAUUAAAGAGCACCAUAUGAAAGAGUUGCUGGAUGGUGUCCGUACUUUUGACGACUUCUUACGCGAGGGAUUGAUUGAAUAUCUUGAUGUCAAUGAGGAGAACAAUGCUCUGAUUGCUCUCUAUGAAGGGGAGGCCGCACCAGAGACAACCCAUAUUGAGAUAGAACCUUUCACCAUCUUAGGUGUUUGUGCGGGGC